UUUAGUAAGAGCAAGUUGUCAGCAUCUUCAAAGGCUGGAUGGAGAGGAUUUGUAUUCCCCAUGCCCUUUCUUUUCUGUAUAUUCCCAAGAGGAAUGUCUGCCUGAGAAAUGGAAAAAACUGCUACCCUGAUGUUUUGGAGAGGAACUGUUGGGCUUCUGGUCUGGCUGGACUUUCCGAGGCAGCCCAGGUGACACUGGUUUUAGCAGCUGUUGCCAAUGUUAGCACAGCACCUGGAGCCAACUUGGUUUGGCUUGAGUAAAGACUAAAUGAGAGCACUGAGCCGGGGAGAGCGGGAGAAAUACCAUCUCUACUUUGACAUUUGUUCCUCAAAAGAAAUAAAAUUACUGGC